rnacentral:lncRNA from 1 species
CUCAAGCCUCUCCCCAGAGAAUCGAAUCUUGCCUGCACUUUCCCAGGUUCUGUGGCCUGAUCCCCAGGAGGAGCUACUCUGGGUUACCAUGAGAGAGACCUUGGAGGCCCUCAGCUCCCUGGGAUUCUCUGUGGGACAGCCAGAGAUGGCCCCCCAAAGUGAGCCCAGGGAAGGAUCCCAUAAUGCCCAGGAGCAGAUGUCCUCUUCUAGGGAAGAGAGAGC